rnacentral:lncRNA from 1 species
GCAUUGCGGGGCACAUGGGGUAUGCCAUCUCAGACUAAGAAGAGGGAGUUCCUGGGUCUCUAUGGGCCAGAGCUUAACCUGUGAGUAUGAGCCAUGUUAGAAUGGUAUUGAGCAUUGUAGAUGGGAAUUGGCACGAAGGGAAUCUAUUAAUCAGGGGAACGUAGGAUUAAGCUACAGCUGGUGCUUUGGAAACCAUUCUAGACAAAUAGAGAUGCUUGUUGACUGCUCAGAAAACACUGCAAACUAGCGCAGGACCUCCCGAAGUUUAGGGGUCACAAUUCUCAGAGGGACCUUGAGCAAAGUACUCCCUUCUGAGGGGUGAAUUAGAUCACCCCCUCCAGCAAAGGUGAGCAGCUGCUAGCAUCAGCCUUGAGGGUUUGGAUUGGGGGGGGCAGCUGCAUCAGACCUCCUCUGGACCAGAAAGGGCCUUGGACAUGGCCACUUGGGGAAUGACAGAACUCAGCAGGACUCUUGAUCUGCUUUAGAUCAGGGGGACACCCAUCAUAGGAGACAAAGCACACAAAGGGUCACUCUGACCUUGACCCCCCCACCUCUGCUCAUGCCCCUUCUUUGUUCCAGCUCCCCAGUCCUUGCUCCAUUUCUUUCCACUUACAGCUGUUGGACCCGAUGCACACCAUACUCCACUUAUUUUGGUAUGUCCAGUUUAUGUCCUCACUAGAAUGUAAGGCCAAGGUUCCAGGAGAUUACAAAAUUACCUGGCAUGCAGUAGACACCCGGUAUUCAUUGUGUGGAAGGAAGCCAUAACAUGGCUGAGGCCUGGUUUCAAACUGGCAGUCUCUGUUGCUCUUACAACUUGUCUGGAUGAAGAGAACAGUGAUAUUGGCUUGGUCCCUGGUCCACAACCAGCAUAGCUGUGAGUGUAUGGAUCGUGGCAGGGGGCGGUGACUAGCAAAGCCAAGCUUUCUCUUUCUGGGAGCCAGGAAAUACGAUGGGUGAUAGUAUGGGCUCCAGCAGGCAAACUCCCCACAUCUCUGACUGAGAGCACUGUGUCAGAUUGCCUGUCCCAUCCCUGCCUGCCAAUAGGUUCUUUAUCUCCUCCGUGCCAUACUCUACCAGCCUUGGGGGGCACCAUGUCCACCUCCACCCGAGGCUCUGGCAGGAAUGGUGGGCAGAACUGGUGUCUCCUGUUCCAAUACUCACCCCCAACCUUACCAAGCAUCAAGGAAAGUGAAGUCUGAUUCACUUUGCUCAGAAAGGGGGUGUGUGUGUGAUGUUCCCUCUUUUCUAUUUUCAUGUGGUGUCCAGAAUCCCUGGAUUUCCUGGAAUUUAUAUGAAGAAUUCCAGCUACUCUAGCAUACUUUUCAUAUUCAAAGUCCCUUCUGGUGAGGACUUGGCCAUCUGGGAAACAGCCUGUGGGGUAGAGAAAGCUUGAGUUCCAGAGAUUUGGAGAACUGGUAAGGUCCUGACUACCCCAUUUGAACUCUUGGCCAAAUGUGAGAACCUAAGUUUGAUCACACACACACACACACACACACACACACACACACACACACAUUUGUUAAGUGUGGUGUCAUGAGCACAAACACAUCUAUACACACAACACUCUCACACACUACACACACUCUCACACACUACUCACACACACACAUGCAUGCACAUACAUGCAUCAUAUACACCAUACCUUACUAACUUCAGAUGUGUUCUGCUUUAAGUGACAGCAAAUUUGGUAGUGGUUUCUUAAACGAAUAGGUGCCUAAUCCAAUUAUUUAGCAAAAAGUAUGACAGUUGCUGGUGGGUUUAGUUCAUCUAAUUAACAAUGUAUCUAUAAUUGCAAAGUGUUUCCUCUUUCCAGUCCUCUAGGUUUAGUCAGAUGGCUUUCACUUUUCAGCUUGCUUUUUCACAGUUACAUGUUGGCUGUUACUACUCCAGAUAACACACCACUUUAAGGCAGGAAGACAGAUGUAAAUGGAGCAGAAGCUUUCUUAGAAUACCCCAGCAUCACCAACAGACUGCUUUUAGUCCACAUCAUCCACAAUAGAAUGACAUAGCUAAACCUAGCUGCAAGGGAGUCUGAUUAAUCAACCAGGGCUGGACACAUUCUCCUUCCAUAGAAAACCAGAUCCUAUUAACGAAGAAGCAGUGGAGAAUGGGUGUCAUGACAGGCACUGGAAAGAGAAAGAACUCUAAGAUUGCUGUGAAGGUCAAAUGGGAUGAGGUAUAGAUGUGCUCAAGACUGCCUGGCCCAGUUAGAUGCUGAAAAGAUACAUUGUUUUUUUUUCCAAUCAGUGUCUUCAUUGACAAGGUCCAAGGAAAUAACUCCAAUGUCUGAAAAACCUGUAUAGUGCACAGUAAAAUUAGUUCCCCCUACUUAGGCAUUGACUUCCCCAGUCUCUCUGCCUGCUCCUCUCCUACCAGCUUAUGCUCAAGAGUGCACCGUGCAUUCUAGUACCAUUGCAAUAGAGAACAAGACAAAUGGGAAGAGAGGCAGUUAAAGUCCAUGACCAGCACAUGCAGGCAGUGAAUGGUCUGAAAGGCUGCAGCACCUCAUGGUAGGGUAGCCUGGGAGAGGUCUUGAUGAAGUGGCCCUCCUAGGACUGAGUUUUACAGGAGGAACUGGAGCCUCCUAGGAAAGCUAACAAAGAAGAAGCACCAGCUAAGACUAGGGGGCUGGAGUGAGCAGGUGGCCAGAGGCUAGGAGGCGGGUGGGGUCAGGCCUGGCAGAAUUCAAUGAGCUGGGGAGGAAGUAUGAGAUUCUUCCUGAAGGGACCAGAUGAGGCAGGCUCCAAAGGUGGAUUCUGGAUUUUGGUUUAAGUAAGACGUGGAGCCAACCACUCGCUGAUUAAAAAGAAGGAGAAGGAGGAGG